UACAGAGGCCCCUAGCGUUGUUCGGAUUUACUGGGCGUAAAGGGUACGUAGGCGGCGAGGCGUGUCGGAUGUGAAAUCUCCGGGCUCAACCCGGAAAGUGCGUCCGAAACUACCUUGCUGGAGGCCGGGAGAGGGAAUCGGAAUAUAGGGUGUAGCGGUGAAAUGCGUUGAUAUCCUAUAGAACACCGGAGGCGAAGGCGGAUUCCUGGAACGGUUCUGACGCUAAGGUACGAAAGUCGGGGGAGCAAAC
rnacentral:rRNA from 1 species